AAUCAGUGAUGACCUAUAUCCCAAAGCUGAUAGCCUGAAGAAAAAGCAUACAAGGAUUUGGCUUUUGAGAU